rnacentral:rRNA from 1 species
AGAAUCAACGCUGGCGGCGUGCCUCAGACAUGCAAGUCGAACGCGAAAGUCCCCUUCGGGGAUGAUUAGAGUGGCGCACGGGUGAGUAACACGUAGGUAAUCUACCUUCGAGUGGGGAAUAACUCAGGGGAACUUGAGCUAAUACCGCAUAAUGCAGCGGCACCACAUGGUGACAGUUGUUAAAGCAUUUAUGCGCUUGAAGAGGAGCCUGCGGCAGAUUAGCUAGUUGGUAGGUAAUGGCUUACCAAGGCUACGAUCU